rnacentral:rRNA from 1 species
GAUGAACGCUGGCGGCGUGCUUAACACAUGCAAGUCGAACGAACCUUCGGGUUAGUGGCGGACGGGUGAGUAACGCGUGAGAAUCUGCCCUCAGGAGGGGGAUAACGGUUGGAAACGGCCGCUAAUACCCCAUAUGCCGCGAGGUGAAAUGAAUUUCGCCUGAGGAUGAGCUCGCGUCUGAUUAGCUAGUUGGUGUAGGUAAUGGCUCACCAAGGCAUCGAUCAGUAGCUGGUCUGAGAGGAUGAUCAGCCACACUGGGACUGAGACACGGCCCAGACUCCUACGGGAGGCAGCAGUGGGGAAUUUUCCGCAAUGGGCGAAAGCCUGACGGAGCAACGCCGCGUGAGGGAUGAAGGCCUCUGGGCUGUAAACCUCUUUUCUCAAGGAAGAAGAUCUGACGGUACUUGAUGAAUAAGCCACGGCUAAUUCCGUG